rnacentral:lncRNA from 10 species
GUGGCACAAUCAUAGCUCACUGUAGCCUUGACUUCUUGGGCUCAAGCAAUCCUCCUGCCUCAGCCUCCCGAGUUGCUGGACCCACACCUAGCUAAUAUUUUGAUUUUUUGUAGAGAUGGGGCUCACUUUGUUGCCCAGGCUGAUCCUAACUCCUAGGCUCAAGAGAUCCUCCCACCUCAGCCUCCCAAAGUGCUGGGAUUACAGGUGUGAGCCACCAUGCCCGGCCAAGAAGUCUUUUCUAGUAGCUGGAAUCACACUAUUCCAGAGCAGACUGCCCUAUAAGCCAUGAGCUUGGUGUUGCUGCAAGGCUCAGGCCAAGUUCUAUGAACACCAAUCGGGCCCUUGUAAGGCCUUACAAGGUCUCACUCUGCAAAGCAGGGGGCUUUGAGUGAUCCACGGGGUCCUUAGACCAAGAUCCCAUGUUUCUACCUGGCUGGCUCAGGCCUGGAGAAGGGGUGGGUGGGAGAGGGGGUAGGGAAACUGCUCAUACUUGAAAGCCUCACCCCACCUGGGGUCCAACAUGAACACCAGACACCCCAGUCUUUCAGGAAAACUCUCACAACCUCAGCUUCCCAGUUAGAAACUAGUAGAAAGGCAGACACUCAUGAGAGAAAUGUGGGGACAGUGAACCUUUGGCGCUUAGACUUUGGAUUUGAGGCUGAGGGCGUGGCGGCCUCUUCCGGGGGCUCUGGGACCCUGCCACUGACCAGCCUCUCUGAGAAGAUCUGCUUGGAAGGUGAGGACUGUCAUGGAGGUAGCCAGGCAGGGCUCAUCAAGACCCUAAAGGUCAGCUUGGGAAAAGACCCCAUGCAGCAGGGAGGGCUUCUGCAUUUAGCGCUUUGGGCAGUUGCAGAGUCCACUGUUCCCCUUAGGGCAGACCCAAAUCUGGGGAGCUGCUAACCUCAGGUGGGCUGUCUCCCAUGUCUGGACCUUGGCUGGGAUGACUGGGCUCUGUGCCAUAUGGUCUCUCACCCUCCGGGAGGCUGGUCUCGGCUUGUUCUCACAGCAAAGGUUGGGAAGCAAGACAGCAGAAGGACGCGAGGCCUCUGAAGGCUUAAGCUCAGAACCCACAUGUUUCUGGGCAUGGCAUUUCAUCGGCCAAAGUGAGUCACAAGGCCAGCCCAGACUCAAGGGGUUGGGGAACAGACU